ensembl:lncRNA
GGAGAGAGCAGCCUUUGCUUGCUGAAACUAUUGGAGAGAAGCCUGUGAGAAAUGCUCCACUUGGAAACUGAGGAAAAAGGUCUGACUGGUGUUCACGAGUGAGCUGUGGUUCAUUUCCACGUCAGGUUAAACAAGGAGGUGUGUUGCAGAACAGAGGGACUGAGUUUGAGAGCACUGACAGGCAUCUUCUAUACAAGCUGCUCAAACUUCUCCAAGGCAAUCUCCUGGCCAAUACUAACAGGGCACAUUGCAUGGAAACACUCGGACAUGGGAAUCUGCUCUUUGCGCUCAAGCGGUUAAAAGUCUGCUCCCUCCUCAACUCCUUCUAGGCUGACCCUGGAAAAUACCUCUCACAGUAGAGACUAAAUGCGGGACAGAAACUAGGGCUCCUAGGAUACAAUAAUA